UACGUAGGGUGCAAGCGUUAUCCGGAUUCACUGGGUUUAAAGGGUGCGUAGGCGGACAGGUAAGUCAGUGGUGAAAUCUCUGGGCUUAACUCAGAAACUGCCGUUGAUACUAUUUGUCUUGAAUAUUCUGGAGGUAAGCGGAAUAUGUCAUGUAGCGGUGAAAUGCUUAGAUAUGACAUAGAACACCGAUAGCGAAGGCAGCUUACUACAGAAUGAUUGACGCUGAGGCACGAAAGCGUGGGGAGCAAACAGG
rnacentral:rRNA from 1 species